rnacentral:rRNA from 1 species
UACAGAGGUCCCAAGCGUUGUUCGGAUUCACUGGGCGUAAAGGGUGCGUAGGUGGUGAGGUAAGUCGGAUGUGAAAGCUCGGAGCUCAACUCCGAAAUGGCAUUGGAAACUACCUUGCUCGAGGGUUGGAGGGGGGACUGGAAUACUUGGUGUAGCAGUGAAAUGCGUAGAUAUCAAGUGGAACACCAGUGGCGAAGGCGAGUCCCUGGACAACUCCUGACACUGAGACGCGAAAGCGUGGGGAGCGAACGGG